UCCUCCUCACUCCACCCGGGGCCAAGACCCUUUCAGCAGCACGAGGCCUGGUUAACAUAUGACUCUGGCUGCAUUACCGCGUGGCAUCCCAGCACCCAUUUGAACAUUUCAGCAAUUUUAAACAAGCUCCGCUGACAGGGACUAUUACACUGAAGCCAAAGAAGCACACAGGGAGAGCACAUUAAUUAUGAGCACGAGAGAAAAUGCUUCUGCAAGAAGGAAUUAAUGAAGAGAACUGCAAAAGAAUGUGUGACGACCUCUCCUGACACGGCAAAAACUUUCCACCCAUGUCACGACAAAGGGGAGAAGAUAUUUUGUUGAGCACCAAAGAUUUGCCAAUAACGUCUGUCACAAUACAGUGAUUAAACAGAUACGGUUGCUGCCCUCAUGGAAGCUAAAGUUUAUUUGAAGAAACACUUAAACAAGCAUCGUGAAAAAUGCUUAGAUGCCAACUGUUUUUCUUUCAUUGAAAUAUAUCAUUAGCCUAUCAGUAUUCAAUAAAUGCUUUGCUUUACAU